rnacentral:rRNA from 1 species
UUACCGAGUUUACAACUCCCAAACCCCUGUGAACAUACCACUUGUUGCCUCGGCGGAUCAGCCCGCUCCCGGUAAAACGGGACGGCCCGCCAGAGGACCCCUAAACUCUGUUUCUAUAUGUAACUUCUGAGUAAAACCAUAAAUAAAUCAAAACUUUCAACAACGGAUCUCUUGGUUCUGGCAUCGAUGAAGAACGCAGCAAAAUGCGAUAAGUAAUGUGAAUUGCAGAAUUCAGUGAAUCAUCGAAUCUUUGAACGCACAUUGCGCCCGCCAGUAUUCUGGCGGGCAUGCCUGUUCGAGCGUCAUUUCAACCCUCAAGCACAGCUUGGUGUUGGGACUCGCGUUAAUUCGCGUUCCUCAAAUUGAUUGGCGGUCACGUCGAGCUUCCAUAGCGUAGUAGUAAAACCCUCGUUACUGGUAAUCGUCGCGGCCACGCCGUUAAACCCCAACUUCUGAAUGUGACCUCGGAUCAGGUAGCAAGCCCCGCGG